rnacentral:rRNA from 1 species
UACAGAGGUCUCAAGCGUUGUUCGGAUUCAUUGGGCGUAAAGGGCGCGUAGGCGGCCAUCUAAGUCAGACGUGAAAUCCCCCGGCUUAACCUGGGAACUGUGUCUGAUACUGGACGGCUUGAGUAUGGGAGAGGGAUGUAGAAUUCCAGGUGUAGCGGUGAAAUGCGUAGAUAUCUGGAGGAAUACCGGUGGCGAAGGCGGCAUCCUGGACCAUUACUGACGCUGAGGCGCGAAAGCGUGGGGAGCAAACAGG